UCCCCAAGGACCUCCACCUUGACAGGAACCAUUACCAAUCCUGAAGUGGUCAUCAAUAUUGCCCACGAACACAGCUUCAUAAUCCUCAGGCCUCUUCAGGUUGGGAGGUCUCUCCUCAGGGUCAGAUCCAUAUUCCCCCUGAAACCUCUUUUUAUUGCUUACAAUGAUUUUCUUCUUGCUGUCCCCCUCAAGGAGGCUGAUGAAGAGCUGGACCACCCGAAGGGCAGCUUCCCGGAAAGGCACCACUAUAAGUACCUGUGGGAGGCAAUGGCAGGCCAGAGGCUUAUUUGUGGACCAAGAUGUGAGCUUUCAGUGUUCCUGCAGCCAUCUCUGUUUUACCCUCAGACUUUGCCCCUCUGAAACUGUUAAGUCCAAUUAAAUGUUUUUGAUAUG
rnacentral:lncRNA from 1 species